rnacentral:rRNA from 1 species
GACGAACGCUGGCGGCGUGCUUAACACAUGCAAGUCGAACGGAAAGGCCCUGCUUUUGUGGGGUGCUCGAGUGGCGAACGGGUGAGUAACACGUGAGUAACCUGCCCUUGACUUUGGGAUAACUUCAGGAAACUGGGGCUAAUACCGGAUAGGAGCUCCUGCUGCAUGGUGGGGGUUGGAAAGUUUCGGCGGUUGGGGAUGGACUCGCGGCUUAUCCGCUUGUUGGUGGGGUAGUGGCUUACCAAGGCUUUGACGGGUAGCCGGCCUGAGAGGGUGACCGGCCACAUUGGGACUGAGAUACGGCCCAGACUCCUACGGGAGGCAGCAGUCGGGAAUAUUGCACAAUGGGCGGAAGCCUGAUGCAGCAACGCCGCGUGCGGGAUGACGGCCUUCGGGUUGUAAACCGCUUUCGCCUGUGACGAAGCGUGAGUGACGGUAAUGGGUAAAGAAGCACCGGCUAACUACGUG